UUACGGCCACAUCAUGUUGAAACACCGGUUCUCGUACGAUCCUCGAAGUUAAGCAACGUCGAGGUUAGUCAGUACGUAGAUGAGUGAUCGCUAUGGUAUAACAGGUGUCGUAAU